GAUGAACGCUGGCGGCGUACCUAAUACAUGCAAGUCGAGCGAAUGGAUUAAGAGCUUGCUCUUAUGAAGUUAGCGGCGGACGGGUGAGUAACACGUGGGUAACCUGCCCAUAAGACUGGGAUAACUCCGGGAAACCGGGGCUAAUACCGGAUAACAUUUUGAACCGCAUGGUUCGAAAUUGAAAGGCGGCUUCGGCUGUCACUUAUGGAUGGACCCGCGUAGCAUUAGCUAGUUGGUGAGGUAACGGCUCACCAAGGCAACGAUGCGUAGGCGACCUGAGAGGGUGAUCAGCCACACUGGGACUGGGACACGGCCCAGACUCCUACGGGAGGCAGCAGUAGGGAAUCUUCCGCAAUGGACGAAAGUCUGACGGAGCAACGCCGCGUGAGUGAUGAAGGCUUUCGGGUCGUAAAACUCUGUUGUUAGGGAAGAACAAGUGCUAGUUGAAUAAGCUGGCACCUUGACGGUACCUAACCAGAAAGCCACGGCUAACUACGUGCCAGCCGCCGCCGUAA
rnacentral:rRNA from 1 species